rnacentral:lncRNA from 1 species
UUUCUUUCUUUCUUUCUUUCUUACUUUCUGUCUUUCUUUCUGUCUUUCUUUCUUUGUUUCUGUCUUUUUGUCUUUCUUUCUGUCUUUCUUUCUGUCUUUCUUGUCAAUAAACAAGCAUCAUAGCUGUUUUUCUGUCACUAGAUGGAUAAUAUACAGUAGUCAGACAUUGAACCAUUGGCUUUAGACACAAAAUUAGAUUAACCAAUUUGACUUGUCACUCAACUUCUGUUUGUUGACCUUAGCUAGACUAUAGGGAUAGGGAUAAAUCUAUGUUUUAAAAGCCUACUUUGACUAAAUUCAAGCCAUUUCCUAAUUUAGGGGUAUUUAUCUCUUGGCGUCAGCCAGGGACACUUAGGUAUUGUGGAGCUGAGUUUGUCAAAAUACAUUCCCCCGUGUACCGCCAGUGGAGAGUGACAAGCGUAUUUAAUACACCCUGAUUCGUCUACUGGGUGAACACUUAAAACCAAGGACUCCAGCAGCAUUGGACAACGGUCCAGAACAUGUUGGAGAUGCACUUCUACCGUCCCUGUUGGACUAUAAUGUUCAUUCAAGUUAAGGGCACACAUUCAUCAACGUUAUGGUAAUUUAGGAAGAUUUAGGUCUUGGGUUUGGAAGGGGGGGGGCAUAGAGUCAUUCACAGGUUAAAUGUGAGGUAAAGUAUAACAGUGAGGUACAGUGAGAGGGUUAAAGGUGUAUUGUUCCACAGUUGUAGUCAUACUAGGACUAGGACUAGGACUAGCAGUAGGAGUCACACUGCCGUGUUGUUGGACUUUUCUCUCCCACAUGUGUUCUUUAGACUCUCAGGCCAUGCUAGAUAUCUCCUAGACCAGCACUAGGCUCAGGUUAGAUAUCUCCCAGACCAGCACUAGACUCAGGUUAGAUAUCUCCCAGACUAGCACUAGGCUCAGGUUAGAUAUCUCAUAGACCAGCACUAGGCCCAGGUUAG